rnacentral:rRNA from 1 species
UCCGAAGGGGCCUAACGUUGUUCGGAAUCACUGGGCGUAAAGCACACGCAGGCGGAUCGAUAAGUCGGGGGUGAAAGCACGGGGCUCAACCUCGGAAUUGCCUUCGAUACUGUCGGUCUCGAGUCCGGGAGAGGUGAGUGGAAUUCCUAGUGUAGAGGUGAAAUUCGUAGAUAUUAGGAAGAACACCAGUGGCGAAGGCGGCUCACUGGCCCGGUACUGACGCUCAGGUGCGAAAGCGUGGGGAGCAAACAGG